CCUACGGGUGGCAGCAGUGGGGAAUAUUGCACAAUGGGGGAAACCCUGAUGCAGCGACGCCGUGUGAGUGAAGAAGUAUUUCGGUAUGUAAAGCUCUAGCAGCAGGGAAGAAAAUGACGGUACCUGAAGAAGAAGCCCCGGCUAACUACGUGCCAGCAGCCGCGGUAAUACGUAGGGGGCAAGCGUUAUCCGGAUUUACUGGGUGUAAAGGGAGCGGAGACGGCAGCACAAGUCUGGAGUGAAAUGCCGGGGCUUACCCCCGGAACUGCUUUGGAAACGGUGCAGCUCGAGUGCAGGAGAGGUCAGUGGACUUCCUAGUGUAGCGGUGCAAUGCGUAGAUCUUAGGAG
rnacentral:rRNA from 1 species